rnacentral:rRNA from 1 species
AUUGAACGCUAGCGGGAUGCCUUACACAUGCAAGUCGAACGAGUGGCGGACGGGUGAGUAAUGUAUCGGAACUUGCCCAAUGGCGGGGGAUAACUACUCGAAACGGUGGCUAAUACCGCAUACUAUUGGCUAGGCCGAGAUGGGAUUAGCUAGUUGGUGGGGUAAAGGCUCACCAAGGCAACGAUCCGUAGCUGGUAUGAGAGGACGACCAGCCACACUGGGACUGAGACACGGCCCAGACUCCUACGGGAGGCAGCAGUGGGGAAUUUUGGACAAUGGGGGAAAGCCUGAUCCAGCCAUGCCGCGUGUAUGAGAAGGCCUUCGGGUUGUAAAGUACUUUUGGCAGGGAAGCGGUACCUGAAGAAUAAGCACCGGCUAACUACGUGCCAGCAGCCGCGGUAAUUC